AGUGAACGCUGGCGGUAGGCCUAACACAUGCAAGUCGAACGGCAGCACAGUAAGAGCUUGCUCUUACGGGUGGCGAGUGGCGGACGGGUGAGGAAUACAUCGGAAUCUACUUUUUCGUGGGGGAUAACGUAGGGAAACUUACGCUAAUACCGCAUACGACCUACGGGUGAAAGCAGGGGAUCUUCGGACCUUGCGCGAUUGAAUGAGCCGAUGUCGGAUUAGCUAGUUGGCGGGGUAAAGGCCCACCAAGGCGACGAUCCGUAGCUGGUCUGAGAGGAUGAUCAGCCGCACUGGAGCUGAGACACGGUCCAGAGUCCUGAGGGAGGCAGCAGUGGGGAAUAUUGGACAAUGGGCGCAAGCCUGAUCCAGCCAUACCGCGUGGGUGAAGAAGGCCUUCGGGUUGUAAAGCCCUUUUGUUGGGAAAGAAAAGCAGCAGGUUAAUACCCCGCUGUUCUGACGGUACCCAAAGAAUAAGCACCGGCUAACUUCGUG
rnacentral:rRNA from 1 species